CUGUGAUUGGUUGCUGGAUGCUAUAAAAGCAACAUGGCACGGAGUUAGAAGUUGUUUUGGGAGAGAUCAUGAGGCGGAUGUGUGGCUCUCUGGUCGCUGAAUGCUUCAUUGUCCACAGCCGGUGUCUGCACCGACAGUGUGGAUGAGCUGUGGCCGAGCAGAGACCUCGUGGGUCGGUACAGUGCAUCCCAGAGUCCUGCUGUCCGGAAGUGGAUUGGUCUGGACCAGGACCUGUGUGACGUGACUGUCCCCAUAAGACUCAUUGGACUGACCAAAGGAGGCGCUCUGCUGAAGAUGAAGCUGUGAGGUCAUCAGAGCUCUGACAUCAGGAAGUGAGGAACUGCAGUGCACUGUGGGUGAUCUGAAUGAUGGAUGCUGGUGACGGCAGCGAGGAUGUUUUUAAUCAGACUGACAUUCUGACCUUCAAACCAUGAAUCUUUAAUUGUAUAAAUCAAACAGAUCAAUAACUGAACUGAAGCACGUCUCUUCCUGUGAGCAGACUGAAGACCUGCAGCUUUACACAUUAAAGAAACUAGUCAUCCGAGUAUUUUAAGCAGUUACAGGAUCAAAGUGAAAACUUGUUACACACUGACGUCUGUUUGUGUAAGCCUACAGUAUUUAAUACACAUACAGUUUGUAGUGGGCAGUGAACGUAAUUUCUAAUUUACUUUUUUCAGAAGUGGAAAAAUAAAAUUAGUUUAACUCCGUUUUGAAUAUUCAGCCUCUGUUUCAGUUCAGACUGUAACGUGUUUGUUUGUAAUGUAUUUAUUAAAGAACUGAACUGCC